AAAUUCAGAUGUGCACAGGUAGAGAGAGCGAGAAGGAAGAAGUGCCUGCUUUAGCUGCAUUCACACAAAAUCCUUUCUGCAGGGUUGUG